GGUGAUUGGGCCUCUGGUGACGUCAGCACCUCCCUUGGCUGUCCCUCUUCUUAGGACACCUCAGUGGGCCCCUCCCUGGUCCCAUAAAGGGCCGGACACAAAGGGCGCCUGGGAAAUGUGAGGCCCUAGAGGUGUCGGAAGAUGAAAGAGGUCUGAUGAUGCCAGUGGUGUCACAUGACAAGAAAGGAGAAGACCCUGACCAGUGGCUGCCUGCUCUGGUUUAUGAAACGUCUUAACGUCUGUUGGAGCAGAUGACACGUUCUAACCGUAGCCCUGGGACAGGCUUUAGAGAAGGGGUCAUGGAGAACUAAGGAAGGCUAUGUAUCCCUGGAUGUCAGGACUGGAAGGAGGCUGGGUAGAGCUGGGGGCUUUCAAAUAUGAUUUUCCUGCAAGAGAAAAUGGAUCCAGUCCCCCUAGCUGAAGGACUUCUGGUCUUCACUGGCCUACAUCAAGAUCUGGGCAGGAGAUGCGAAGUCCCUGGGCCAGAGAUGCACCUCACCUGUAGGAUCUUUGCUCCAUCCUGCUCUGGGCACUGCCCUGAGGCACAGCCAGGUGGCUGCCUCUUUCUUUCUCUCCACAAGGGGGCAGUCUAUGGGCUCCCUCUUGAUUAUCUGGUGAUUUUAAGCCAAACCACGGCACCUACUUGGGUCUAUGGAGGCCAAAAAGGCUAAUAUAGUGCACUCCC
ensembl:lncRNA